ensembl:snRNA U6 U6 spliceosomal RNA
GUGCCGCUUCGGCAGCACAUAUACUAAAAUUGGAAGGAUACAGAGAAGAUUAGCAUGGCCUCUGCGCAAGAAUAGCUAUGAUUUUAAGUAAAGGGACAGGAACCAACCAGUGCUU